CCUACGGGCGGCUGCAGUGGGGAAUAUUGCACAAUGGGCGCAAGCCUGAUGCAGCGACGCCGCGUGGGGGAUGACGGCCUUCGGGUUGUAAACCUCUUUCAAUAGGGACGAAGCGCAAGUGACGGUACCUAUAGAAGAAGGACCGGCCAACUACGUGCCAGCAGCCGCGGUAAUACGUAGGGUCCGAGCGUUGUCCGGAAUUACUGGGCGUAAAGAGCUCGUAGGUGGUUUGUCGCGUUGUUCGUGAAAACUCACAGCUUAACUGUGGGCGUGCGGGCGAUACGGGCAGACUGGAGUACUGCAGGGGAGACUGGAAUUCCUGGUGUAGCGGUGGAAUGCGCAGAUAUCAGGAGGAACACCGGUGGCGAAGGCGGGUCUCUGGGCAGUAACUGACGCUGAGGAGCGAAAGCGUGGGGAGCGAACAGGAUUAGAUACCCUGGUAGUC
rnacentral:rRNA from 1 species